AUGCACGCUGGCGGCGUGCCUAAUCCCUGCAAGUCGAGCGAACAGACGAGGAGCUUGCUCCUCUGACGUUAGCGGCGGCCGGGUGAGUAACACGUGGAUAACCUACCUAUAAGACUGGGAUAACUUCGGGAAACCGGAGCUAAUACCGGAUAAUAUAUUGAACCGCAUGGUUCAAUAGUGAAAGACGGUUUUGCUGUCACUUAUAGAUGGAUCCGCGCCGCAUUAGCUAGUUGGUAAGGUAACGGCUUACCAAGGCAACGAUGCGUAGCCGACCUGAGAGGGUGAUAGGCCACACGGGAACUGAGACACGGUCCAGACUCCUACGGGAGGCAGCAGUAGGGAAUCUUCCGCAAUGGGCGAAAGCCUGACGGAGCAACGCCGCGUGAGUGAUGAAGGUCUUCGGAUCGUAAAACUCUGUUAUUAGGGAAGAACAAAUGUGUAAGUAACUAUGCACGUCUUGACGGUACCUAAUCAGAAAGCCACGGCUAACUACGUG
rnacentral:rRNA from 1 species